UAUUUUUAAGGACCCGUCUUGAAACACGGACCAAGGAGAUUAUAAUUAUAGCGAGAUAAUAUUUUUAUUUUAGUCGUUAUUAAUUUGAUAAGUUAUAAUUAUAAGACCCGAAACACAGUGAACUAUACAUGUUCUGGUUGAAGAUAAGCAACAGUUUAUUGGAAGACCAUAAUCAUUCUGACGUGCAAAUUGAUGAUUUAAGAUGUGUAUAGUGGCGAAAGACCAAUCGAACUGUGUGGUAGCUGGUUCACAGCGAAAUGUCUCUCAGGACAGCAGUCAUUAUUUUUUUUAUAUAGGACAUAGAUGUAGGACACUGUUAUAAUAUUUAUAUUAUGAGAAAUCUUUAAUUCUAUGGAAUUUUAUAAAUUAAUUUUAUGAAAUGUAUCUAUUAUUUUAUGACUAGUGGGCACAUGAUUGUAAGAAUGAUGUGCAAAAAGGGAUGAACCUUAUGAAACAUUAAAUAUUCUAAAUAGUAGAUAUUAUACCAUAAAUAUGAUGAAUACAUUGAGACAGUGGGGCGGUUGUUAUGGAAGUAGAAAUCCGCUAAGAAACGUGUUACAACGUACCUACCGAAUGUAUUAUUGUAUAAAAUGGAAGAAG
rnacentral:ncRNA from 1 species